GUGGGGAAUUUUGGACAAUGGGCGCAAGCCUGAUCCAGCAAUGCCGCGUGCAGGAAGAAGGCCUUCGGGUUGUAAACUGCUUUUGUACGGAACGAAACGGUCCGGGUUAAUACCCUGGGCUAAUGACGGUACCGUAAGAAUAAGCACCGGCUAACUACGUGCCAGCAGCCGCGGUAAUACGUAGGGUGCAAGCGUUAAUCGGAAUUACUGGGCGUAAAGCGUGCACAGGCGGGUUUGUAAGACAGGCGUGAAAUCCCCGGGGUCAACCUGGGAAUUGCGCUUGUGACUGCAAGGCUGGAGUGCGGCAGAGGGGGAUGGAAUUCCGCGUGUAGCAGUGAAAUGCGUAGAUAUGCGGAGGAACACCGAUGGCGAAGGCAAUCCCCUGGGCCUGCACUGACGCUCAUGCACGAAAGCGUGGGGAGCAAACAGGAUUAGAUACCCCUGUAGUCC
rnacentral:rRNA from 1 species